GAGUUUGAUCGUGGCUCAGGAUGAACGCUGGCGGCGUGCUUAACACAUGCAAGUCGAACGAAGCGCCUUAUUUGAUUUUCUUCGGAACUGAAGAUUUGGUGACUGAGUGGCGGACGGGUGAGUAACGCGUGGGUAACCUGCCCUGUACAGGGGGAUAACAAUCAGAAAUGACUGCUAAUACCGCAUAAGACCACAGCACCGCAUGGUGCAGGGGUAAAAACUCCGGUGGUACAGGAUGGACCCGCGUCUGAUUAGCUGGUUGGUGAGGUAACGGCACACCAAGGCGACGAUCAGUAGCCGGCUUGAGAGAGUGAACGGCCACAUUGGGACUGAGACACGGCCCAAACUCCUACGGGAGGCAGCAGUGGGGAAUAUUGCACAAUGGGGGAAACCCUGAUGCAGCAACGCCGCGUGAGUGAAGAAGUAUUUCGGUAUGUAAAGCUCUAUCAGCAGGGAAGAAAGUGACGGUACCUGACUAAGAAGCCCCGGCUAACUACGUGCCAGCAGCCGCAGU
rnacentral:rRNA from 1 species